rnacentral:rRNA from 1 species
UACAGAGGUCCCAAGCGUUGUUCGGAAUCACUGGGCUUAAAGGGUGCGUAGGCGGGCCAGUAAGUCAGGGGUGAAAUCCCACGGCCCAACCGUGGAAGUGCCUCUGAUACUGCGGGCCUGGAGGGGGAUAGGGGCGUGCGGAACUUCCGGUGGAGCGGUGAAAUGCGUAGAUAUCGGAAGGAACACCGGUGGCGAAAGCGGCGCGCUGGAUCCCUACUGACGCUGAGGCACGAAAGCCAGGGGAGCAAACGGG